UACGUAGGGCGCAAGCGUUGUCCGGAUUUAUUGGGCGUAAAGAGCUCGUAGGCGGUUUGUCGCGUCUUCCGUGAAAACUGGGGGCUUAACUUCCAGCUUGCGGUGGAUACGGGCUGACUGGAGUGCGGCAGGGGAGACUGGAAUUCCUGGUGUAGCGGUGAAAUGCGCAGAUAUCAGGAGGAACACCGGUGGCGAAGGCGGAUCUCUGGGCCAUUACUGACGCUGAGGAGCGAAAGCGUGGGGAGCGAACAGG
rnacentral:rRNA from 1 species